GGCGGCGUGCCUAACACAUGCAAGUCAAGGAGAAUUCCCGACUUGUCGGGAUAGUAAACUGGCGAACGGGUGAGUAACACGUAGGUAAUCUGCCUCGGGAUCGGGAUAACCUCGCGAAAGUGGGAUAAUACCGAAUAAAGUCUCGGUAUAAUUUGUCGAGAUGAAAGAUGGGGAUCUUCGGACCUAUUACCUGAGGAUGAGCCUGCGCCUGAUUAGCUAGUUGGUAGGGUAAAUGCCUACCAAGGCAACGAUCAGUAGCUGGUCUGAGAGGAUGAUCAGCCACAUUGGGACUGAGAUACGGCCCAGACUCCUACGGGAGGCAGCAGUGAGGAAUUUUGCGCAAUGGGCGAAAGCCUGACGCAGCAACGCCGCGUGACUGAUUAAGCUCUGAGGAGUGUAAAAGUCUGUCGUAGAGGAAGAAACUAUCCGAUAAGAAUAUUGUCGGAUACUGACGGUACUCUAUGAGAAAGCUCCGGCUAACUCCGUG
rnacentral:rRNA from 1 species